rnacentral:misc_RNA from 1 species
GCAACAAAUGGACAAAUUGAACUCCAGGCCUGUGACACUUGAUGGUUAUUUUGGCCCGCAACAAAGUGUUCAAGGAAUGGUACAGUUAAACUUGAUGGCACCAACUCGUGAUAACUACUAUGCAAAUCAACAGACUAUUCAGGGCCUUGGACAGUUGAACUCUAUAGCUCCUACACAUGAUGGCUAUUAUGGUGCUCAGCCGACAAUGCAUGGGCUGGGCCAAAUGGACUUUUUCCGCUCUCCAAGUUUCUCAUAUGGCAUUCGGGAUGAACCCACUGUAAGAUCUUCUCAAUUGCACGACGAAGCAUCUAGACAUCCUUGAGGAUCACCUUUGUCAUUAAAUAGGAAAGAGGGGUUGCACAUUUCAACUUCCAUUACAGGCUGUUUAUGGAAGUACAACCAACAGGAAGAAUGUUGUAGUAUUUGUUUGUAAAAUAAAAGGGGAUCUUCAAUGUUGGCAGUGCUUUUAUUAUUUGUACCUUCGUUUUUUGUUAAACAAACUCUUUAGGUUAAUCUCACCCUGUAAAGGCUGUUGUGGGAUGUAUUGGUUACAGCAAGUAAAGAUGAUUGGUGUGAAGAUAUAUGUACACUUUUCUUCAAGUGAAAGCGAAUG